CUCUUUUGUUGACGUGUACCACUUUUCUGUGUGGCCUAGCGGCAGCGGGGAGGGACAUAGGUAAUUGCCAAAUUAGUUUCCGAGAUGAGUUUCUUGAUAUAAAACAGAACAAAAUGAUUAUGUAUCAUUCUUUCUGUACAUAUUAAUUUGUAUGUUGUGGUUCUUCCUUCAUUGUGCUUAGGUACCAAGGCUGCAUUUGGAAUCCAAUGUUUUACUUACUCAGUGUGCAUGGACUCAUAUGAGUAUGCCGUUGAUUACUGCAACAAGGAGUGCAAAAUACUUGGUUAUGACGGCCAGAAAGGCUACUGCAAGAAGGAGAAUCGUGGCGUGUGUUGUUGUGCCUAAAGUUAAAGACAUGUUAUAUUGUCAUUUUGUAGAAAAUCAUUGCAUGUAUUUGCUUGUCAGAAUACUAAUUUAUAUGGAUUAUACGAGAAUUUCAAUAACAUAUACUGGUAGUUGCUUGCGAAGACCAACUUCUCUAGCCAAUCAACUCUUCAGGUCAUAUGAAUCAACAAUGAGCCAGCUAAAAAGUGGAAGUACUGAUAACUUAAAAUUUUAAAUUAGGGAGUGAAUUAAUGGAAAUAUAUGAGAAAUACAUUGGGUAUAUGAAAAUUUGUAAUUCAACGAUGCUAGUUAAUACCAACUGAUGGAUGUACAACUCAAAAAAAGUCCAUAUUCGAACCCUGGACUAUCACAAAUGUCUAAGAACCAACCCCAAACUUUGAAACAAUCUAUCUUGCAAUUCUAAAUUGUCAAAGUCGAUCAACUUUCAACUUUUCCUCUCCUCAAACCGGUAUUUGGUGCGUUGAAGUGGUUUGGAACAACUGAUCGCCUAGUCGGCUGCCAUGCCACUUAAUAUUUUUCCUGAAUUUGUAUUUUAUUGCAUGUUGUAAUCUGUUUGGCGGGAUCGGCCAUAUAGUUGAUAAAUAAUCAGAUAAUAGCAACGUGAAUUUAAUGGCUACAACUCUUAUAUCCCAAAGAUAUAGAAUCCGGGCUACCGUACUAAACUUUUCUGACACUAGUGUUCAGAAUAGCAUCUCAUGGUCUACCUGCCGUUAGCCUCUCUCUGACUCACUCUCUAUGAUCCUAGGUACCUGCAAGGACGAAGAAUGUAUAUGAGACAAGAUACAUCCAUGAAGCAAUUUUAUGUUACACAUACGGGACAAAUUCAAAGUACUUCUAUAUAUCCCUCCAAUAAAUACAUAGGGUUUUAGGGCAAUGCCUCAACCCAUGAUGAUACCUUAGGUAUGGAGAACAGAUCACAAGUACAAUCCAUCAAACAACACAUCAUGAACACUGAUUUAUAAUAUGUCUUACAAUAAUUGCCUGAUGUGAUAGACGAUUACAAAUUAUGGCUAAUUGGAUGAGUGCUUGGUGGGUGGAGAUGGUGGCGGCUAUGGAAAUGAGAUGGGAAAUGGCGGUGGCUAGGGUUAAUCUGGACGAUGAAGAUUGAGGUCUGGGCGAUGCUCUGUUGCUAUUAUGGGAUUGAGCCCUCCAUGGUAGAUCGGAUAGCUCAUACGAGCGUGUACGAUCAUGUGGAACAUCGUCUUGCUUUGUUCUUCCUGGAGUGUCUCCCGCUUGAUCUCCUCUAUAUCCUCUUUACUCCCUUCCAUGUAUUGGCUUGAUUUCCUCCAUAUUUAGCCCAUUUCCUACGGAAAUAAACUAAAGAUCGGAAAUUUCGAAUCCUUUGCAUUGGUUAGUCAUUUGUAGUAAUAUCAGAGCGAAUAUCUUGGUUGUUAAGAAAUAUAUCAGUUUAUGCUCAUGUAUCAUGAGUGCAAGAACAACAGUUGUCAAUUACACCGAGCUUAGACUUGAUCAUCCUUGACCAACGUCGAGGAAAAUCCAAAACAUAAGGAACUCAGUUGUUUACACCAAAUAAGCGAUUAGGUUUUGCUUCACUUAUGAUCAACACACCUGGAUAACCCUACACUUCUUGACUUCUAAACUUAGUAUAGGUAUAGCGGUGACAUGGUUAUUAUGCAAGUGUUAGUGAAGCAAAGAUAAUCAACACAAAGCUCUUGCUCAACUAGACAAAAUAACAAAGUAACACUUGAUUCUAUUUUUGCUACUGAACACUUGCUUGCCGGGAAUGCACGAAGGUGAUUGCAUUUCUUGAGCAAUGAAAGCAUGUAUUAGGAAGUUAAAGUUAUGCAAAGACGACAUCAUUCUAGAGUAGCUCUAACUCACCCACAAGUGUCUCAUCAUCAAGGCUCUCACGAACUUUAUUUAAAUCAUUGCCUGCUGAACCUUUUGUUCUCUGGUGAUGGGAUGCCAGAGAAAGGAUCGAAAAUAAGGUUUUGUUGUGCUUUAAGUUUGAGUAAUAUGAACUAAUAUGUUGCUACUACAUACUGUAACAUACUCAUAUCCGAAAUCGGAGUCGAAACUCUAGUGGAUCGUUCAUUGUCCACUGGAGUUCUCAGCAUUACAUCAAGAAAAGGUGACAUUCACAUUUACAUGCCUACAUGUGCAUGGAGUAGUAAGACCAUUACACCAGCGUGAAGCUGAAGCGCCAUGUACAAAUAUAGCAAAGGUUUUUGGCAUAAUAUCAUUCACCUUACAACUAAUUUUCUUUGGAAAAUUUUAUCAACAAGGGCUAUAGAGUCUAUUAAAAUGGACACUAUGGGGUUAGGUAUCUCUAACAACAUCUUCUCUAAAAGUUUUUUCAACACCCAAGUCUUGUGAGACUUUCUGUUGUGCAUGGUUAUUCUUCGUUAACAUAUCACUUUAUUUUAAUAGCCUGAUUUUCAUGGAUUACUUCAGAAAGUUACAAAUACAUUUUUGUCUCAAAGUUUUGGAAAGUGGUUGCUCCGGUGCCCUGAGCCAUUCAAUGUUUGUAUUAUUACUAGCAAAAAUGCUCGUGCAUUGCACCGGGAGAGAAAAACACAUGCAUUUAGAUCCAUCACCGCCAAUCAUAAGUCGACUGCCCUCCGAAACAUGACAACUCUUAGAAAGCCGUUAUAUGGUGCACUGCUACCACGUACCAAGAUACAGUAAUAAACCCAUCUAAAAAAAUAUACAGUAGCAGCUGGAACCUCGUCACAUGAUGACAUGCGACACGAACAGACCAUGCAAUGCAACAAACAGGGGAGCCAUUAUGCAUUCAAAUAGCCUCAUAUACUCAAAUUAUUUUCCCUUUAUGUAGAAAGUCACUAUACAGUUGUCAUAGUAAAAGCAAAAGGGCAUAAAUAACCUCAUAUGAAACCAACGCCUAGCUAGCAAAUAUAAGACUUACAUGAUUUCGAAUUAUAUGACAAACUCAUCAUAUAUAGAAUCAAAGUUGAACUAUGAUAUAUAGUAGAUGAGCCCGAGCUGGGGCCAUGCAUGCACACACGAUUAAGAAUAUCAACUGCUGCUAACAUGAGGUCAGAACUAAUGGCCUCACAAAAGAUGAUUAGUUGAUCAGAACAUAGUUCUCUAGAAUAUUCACCUUUGAUAGUAGCUGCUGCAAGCGGAUUCAAUUGUACAUGCAUGGGUAGAUACUGCAUUGCAUCUGCGUUACACCUAACGAUCCUAAUUAAGGUUGCCACCACAGCCACAACCGCGUCUAGAUAUUAAAGGAGGCAUCAUCAGUGGAUUAAUUACUGAAAGGUUGCAUAAUGUCAUCCACGAAGGUGAAUACUCAUAGAACAAAAAACGUGUUACUUAAGAAACAAAGUAGAUGAAUUAGAACAUCGAUGGAUACCAUAUUACCACCUGCGUUGAGGUGAGCCAACCCGUUGACCCCGCCAUGGUCUCUAGAUGCAGCUGAUAGUCAUGGUCUGAAGCGACCCAGCCGUCGUCGACGGUGCGUAAAUCACUGAGGCCUCCGCCGACAACCCUUGUCUACCACCUCAUCGGCAGCGUGGGGGCUUGCAGCUGCGCCAGCUACACCGGGGUUGAGCUCGCAUGUCACUGCCGUCCCUGGACUGUGCACACCGCCUCUGCAAGCUAGUGCACCGAUGUUCCUAUCUGUCUGAGCUCGUGCGUAGGCGGACACAACCUAGCCAUGGGCAUGCACACUCUGCUUGGAGCCUAGCCCAACACCUACGUCAUGGCAUUAACCAUCGAUAAUCUUAUGAGCCUGAUAUUGACCAGAUCGAUAUGAGGAUUGAUGGAGACUCCGUCCAUGGCAACCAAUGGGACAAUUUGUGAACUCAGAUUGUGUUGCACAGUUAGGGGGUCCAUGACGGCACACUUCAUGGAGGCGAGGACGCAUGGGAGACAGAUGCAUGGCAUGCGAUUCUAUGAUCGUGAAUUCCGCAGGGAGUGUUGGCUAUUGGGGUGCGCAGGACGGCAACCACGACGGUGUCGGCGGCGGUUGCUGCUCGUGGUCAGGCAGGGAAGCAACACGGCAUCAGCGGUGACUGCUCGUGGUCGCGCAAGACGGCAACCACGACGGCGGCGGAGGCGGCUGUUCAUGCUCGCGCAGCGAAGCAACACGGCGUCGGCGGCGACUGCUCGAUGUCACGCAGGGAAGGAGCGCCUGGGACAGGGGGAACUCGAAUCUAAGAGAGGAGAGGAGACAGGUUAAUUAGCCCUGGCUGGUUUUCUCCCAAUUUAUGUAGCAGACUUUUUUUAGCGUGGCGUGCACCCGCGGAGGCUGGUUCCUGUUGUUUUUUUAUCUGACGGUGAUACACAUACUAAACUUAUCUUAUUUGGUGAUAGAUUCCUGAGCCGGAUAUAGACGCAUGGUGAGUUGCAACACUUCGACGGCUUAUAGGGAAAGAUUGAUUGUGGGUUAAUUCUCUAACGCUGUGUUUGGAUGUCUGUAUUGGGCUGUUGAAUUGGAUUUAGUAUUGGGCUAACCCCAAUACAGGUGUUCGGAUGCACUCUGAAACAACAGACUGAAACGGAAACGAAUAUGAGGCGUUUUCGCUCACACGCGCCCACCCGUCGCUACAAUUCGGAGGUCUGGACCUCCGAUUUCCGCCGAAUUGCCUCACGCCCGCAAAACAAAACGUUUUGGGCCUUUAUUUCCUCCCUCCACCAUGAGACAGAAGGGAUCGAGGGAAGAGAGUGGCGCCCUCGCAGAUCGACGGCGGCGCUCAGUUAGAUGCACCAUGGCGGCGUGGUUAUGGUGGCCGCCCUUCCAUUCCCUUCUUCCUCCGCCGCCACCCCUUCCCCUCCCCCGGCGCCACCCCUUCCCGUUCUCUCUUGCCCUGCCCGCCGUGGCCAGAUCCCAUCUGAACCGCCGACGGCUGCAGUCCCCUCCGGCGCCGGCCUUCCCUUCCUUCCUGGCCCUGCGGUGGCCAUCUCUUCUCCCUUCAGCGCUGGCCCUCCCCCUCCUUCCCAUCGGAGCCCAUCUCUUCUCCCUGGGCCCUCCUCAGCAGCCCCUUCUUCUCUAGCCGUGGUGGCCCUCUGUGCCGCCGGAGCCUUCUUCCCUUGCUCCACCCAGCCCCUGCUCUAAUUCUUCUUCUUCAAUCCCCUUGUCAUGUUGUUCUGAUUCAUUUGCUACCCGCUGAUGUAUUUGCAGGUUGGCCUAAAAAUUGGAAUCCCUCUUGUAUGAAUAUGAUGCAAUUUUGUGAACCAAUAUAUGGUCUGAUCUCUGAUGCAUGCUUAUGUGUGAUAUGGGGAUAUGAUACAUGCUUAUGUGUGAUAUUGGGAUAUGAUGCAUGCUUAUGUGAUCUGAUGCAUGCUUAUGUGUGAUGUUCCCGUUUGUAUUGUUGAACUUGGACCUAUCUAAACUAUUUUUUUGUUACAUUUGGAACAAUGUAUUGUUCAACUACAACUUAUUUGAACAAUUGUAUUGUUAAAUUUGAAACUAUCUCUUCUUGUCGUUGAGAAUUUGGAACACCUAUUUAAGCUAUAGGUGUUGUACUUUGUUGGUGUAAAAUAUUUUUUUUGUUUUUGCGUCAAUAUUAUAUGAUGUCGUCCUCGAUUUCUAGAAUAUAUGAUUAAAAAUGCUAUAUAAUCAUCCAAUUAUAGUCACACGAUAUAUAACUUCUGUUUUUUAUGCAUAUACUAAUGUUGCUAUCAAUUCCAUGGUUUGACAUCCAAACAUGGUUCCGUAUUGAAACCUCGGAACAAUUCCGUGAGCUAAUACAAUAAACAUCCAAACAAGCGAAUUCGUAUUCAUGUCCAUUACAAUUUCCUGGCUGAAUUGGAAUUGAAACCAAUACAAUACGGAGGCUUCCAAUACAGACAUCCAAACGCAGCGUAAGACAAUAGGGACUUUUUUGCAAAAAUGUCACGACGGUGAACCCGGAGACUCAAUUCGUGUUUUAUUAUUAGGGAGAGAUAUGAAAUUUAAUGUGCAUGGAAACGACCUCUAAAAUGUAACUUUGGCCCAUAAUAUUUUUGUUAUGUAAGGAUACAAGUCAAUAUGGCAAUUAGAUUAUACCAAAACUAGGAAGAAACCAUUAAUACGAAAAAUGAUAAAGGGGCAAGAAUCAUUGUGCAUUCGCUCCUCUUUAUAAACACCGGUGCUAGAAAUAUACGUUCAGAGAAGGAAAACAUCAAGAGAAAAUAAACACCGAUGCUGGAAAGAUACGUUCAGAGAAGGACAACAUCAAGAGAAAAUAAGUAAUAGCAAGGCAGUCUUGAUGAUGGCACUUAUCAAGAACAAGACACGCAUUCUCUUUUGUGUUGCUCUUUUGUUGACGUGUACCACUUUUCUGUGUGGCCUAGCGGCAGCGGGGAGGGACGUAGGUAAUUUCCAAAUUAGUUUCCUAGAUGAGUUUCUUGAUAUAAAACAGACCCAAAUGAUUAUGUAUCAUUCUUUCCAUACAUAUUAAUUUGUAUGUUGUGGUGCUUCCUUCAUUGUGUUUAGGUACCAAGGCUGCAUUUGGAAUCCAAUGUUUUACUUACUCAGUGUGCAUGGACUCAUAUCAGUAUGCCGUUCAUUAUUGCAACAAGGAGUGCAAAAUACUUGGUUAUGACGGCCAGAAAGGCUACUGCAAGAACGAGAAUCGUGGUGUGUGUCCAGAAGACCGGACAUUAUGCCAAGGAAUGUCCUGAAGCCCAAAAUGGAAAUGGCAAUGGAAGCUCUGGGAAGAAGCCGAACGCUUUCAAUAGGGGACAGGUGAACCACGUAAAUGUGGAGGAAGUUGAAGCCCAGCCCGAUGUAGUAAUAGGUAAGUUUUUGGUUAAGUCAUUUACUGCACUCGUUCUUUUUGAUACUGGUGCAUCCCAUUCAUACAUAUCAAGGGGAUUUGUGGAUAAGUAUAAAAUGCCAACCCAAGCCCUUAGGUCAUCCAUGUUAGUAACCUCGCCUAGAACAGAGUAUAUGGCUAGUCUAUGGUGUGAUCGGUUACCAUUAAGGAUUGGUAACUAUGUUUUUCCCUCGGACCUAAUAGUAUUGGAAUCUCAAGGAUUGGAUGUGAUAUUAGGCAUGCAUUGGUUAUCGAAGUAUGAAGGGAACAUUGAAUGUGACAGUAAGGCAAUUUUGUUUACCACCCCAGAAGGAAGAAGGAUCAAGUAUGUAUCCCGGCAUGUGCCGAAAAGGACUCAAGUAAAUUGCCUAACAGGAGUUGUGCAAGAGGAAGUACCAGUAGUGAAGGAUUUCCCUGAUGUUUUUCCAGAAGAGUUGCCAGGCAUGCCACCGGAUAGAGAUAUUGAGUUUUUGAUUGAGCUUUUGCCAGGCAUAGGGCCAAUAUCUAAGAGACCAUAUAGGAUGCCCGCAAAGAAUUUGGUGGAGAUUAAGAAGCAGAUUAAGGAGUUACUGGAUAAAGGUUAUAUUCGCCCAAGUUCUUCACCUUGGGGAUCGCCAGUACUUCUAGUGGAGAAGAAGCAUGGAUCGUGAAGGAUGGUCGUUGAUUAUCGAGGAUUGAAUGAAGUAACCAUCAAGAAAAAGUACCCACUACCGAAGAUCAAUGAUUUGUUUGAUCGGUUGCAAGGAGCUAAGGUAUUUUCCAAGAUCGACCUGCGAUCAGGAUACCAUCAGUUGAAGAUUCAAGAACAGGAUAUUCCUAAAGCGACUUUUACCACCAGGUAUGGGCUAUACGAGUAUACCAUUAUGUCAUUUGGUCUGACUAACGCACCUGCAUAUUUUAUGAACAUGAUGAACAAAGUGUUUAUGGAGUUUUUUGAUAAGUUCGUCAUAGUGUUCAUUGAUGAUAUCCUGGUUUACUCGAAGAAUGAAGAGGAGCAUAAGGAGCAUUUGCGUUUGGUACUUGGUAAGCUCAAAGAACAUCAGUUAUAUGCCAAGUUUAGCAAAUGUGAGUUUUGGUUGAAGGAAGUUGGAUUUCUCGGACAUGUUAUAUCUGGAGAAGGUAUAGCAGUGGAUCCCACCAAGGUUGACACUGUGACAAAUUGGGAAGCUCCAACAACAGUUGGAGAGAUCCGGAGUUUUCUUGGACAUGGAGGAUACUAUCGGAGAUUUAUUGAAAAUUUCUCUCAGAUUGCAAAACCUAUAACGGAGUUGCUGAAGAAGGAUACCAAGUUCAUAUGGACUGAGGAAUGUGAGGCUAGUUUCCAGGAGUUGAAGAAACGUUUGGUUACAUCACCAGUGUUGAUUUUGCCAGAUCAGACCAAGGAUUAUGAGGUGUAUUGCGACGCUUCACGUCGAGGACAUGGAGCAGUGCUUAUACAGGAAGGAAGAGUUGUCUCAUAUGCCUCACGACAUCUCAAGCCUCAUGAGUUGAAUUAUGCUAUGCAUGAUUUGGAGUUAGCAGCCGUAGUGCAUGCAUUGAAGACUUGGAGAUAUCUUCUCAUUGGAAACCAUUGUGAGGUGUACACGGACCACAAGAGUUUGAAGUACAUUUUCACGCAGAAGGAGUUGAAUCUCAGACAAAGGAGAUGGUUGGAACUCAUCAAGGAUUAUGAUAUGAGAUUGCAUUAUCACCCUGGAAAGGCUAACGUAGUAUCUGACGCGUUGAGCCGUAAAAUUCAUGUCAACACCUUAAUGACAUGAGAUUUACCAAGGGAGUUAGCUGAAAAUCAUCGUGAGCUAUGUUUGGAAAUAGUUCCGAGAGGCUAUGUAGCAGCAUUGGAGAUUCAGUCUACGUUGAUGGAUAAGAUCAGAGAAGCCCAGAAGACUGACAAGGAGAUUGCCUCUAUUAAGGAGAAAAUGAGCAAAGGAAAAGAUAAAGGAUUUCGUGAUGAUGAGCACGAUACCUUAUGGUUUGAAGACCGUGUUUCACCUAGGGAAUACCAAGAUGUAUUUGGAUUUGAGGAUAUUUUCUGGUGGACCGGAAUGAAGAAGUAUAUUGCGGAGCAUGUAGCAGUUUGUGAUGUAUGUCAGAGAGUAAAGGCGGAACAUCAAAAGCCAACAGGAUUGCUACAACCAUUGCCGAUACCCGAAUGGAAGUGGGAUAAGUUAGGCAUGGAUUUUAUCACCGGAUUGCCCAGAAAUCGUUCAGGCUAUGACUCGAUAUGGGUUGUAGUCGACCGUUUGACAAAGGUAGCUCUUUCAUCCUAGUGAAGACUACCUAUACCAGUGCAAAGUUGGCAAAGAUAUAAAUGACCAGAAUCGUAUGUCUGCAUGGAGUUCCAAGGAGCAUUGUAUAAGAUAGAGGAACCCAGUUUACCUCAAAGUUCUGGAAUCAGUUGCAUGAAACCCUGGGUACCAGGCUAGAAUUCAAUACAACUUUCCAUCCGCAGAUAGAUGGACAGACCGAGAGAGUCAAUCAGAUUUUGGAGGAUAUGCUGAGAGCUUGUGCGCUAGAUUACGGAUCUAGUUGGGACGAGAAUUUGUCAUACGCAGAGUUCUCCUAUAACAACAGUUAUCAAUCCAGUUUGAAGAUGGCCCCUUUCGAAGCUCUGUACGGAAGGAGGUGCAGGACCCCAUUGUCGUGGGAUGAAGUUGGAGACCGCUAGUUGUUUGGACUGGAUCUGAUUAAGGAGUCUGAACAGAAAGUAAAAUUGAUUCAUGAUAGAAUCAAGGUAGCCCAGUCUAGGCAGAAGAGCUACGCACACUCAAAACGCAAGGAAACAGUUUACGAAGUCGGAGACCGAGUUUAUCUUCGAGUAUCUCCACUUCGAGGAGUUAAGUGCUUUGGAGUUAAGGGAAAGUUAGCGCCCCAUUUUGCAGGACCAUACAAGGUUUUGGAACGUAUGGGAGAAGUAGCUUAUAUGUUGGAAUUGCCCGAAGGAUUGUCAGGAAUUCAUGACGUGUUCCACGUUUCCUAGUUGAAGAAGUGCCACACAGAGAUGGCUGACAUACCGCUGAGAGACACAGUGCCGCUGGAAGCGGUUCAGUUGGACAGUGAUUUGACUAGUGGGGAUACUCGAGUAUCUUAACUUUGCUGAGGAGAAACCAGUCAAGAUUCUUGAGUAUGCCAGCCGAGUCACCCGCAGCAAAGUUAUCAAGUUUUGCAAAGUUCAGUGGAGCCACCACACGGAAGAUGAAGCUACCUAGGAACGAGAGGAAGAACUGUUGAAAGACCUCCCUCACCUAUUUUCUAGCUAACCCGAAUCUCAAGGGCGAGAUUCAUCUUAAGGGGGGUAGGUUUGUAACAUCCCAAAUUUUCAAUUUGGAAUGUUAUACAAUAGAUCAUCAUUGCAUAUCAUAUUUUAUCGCAUUUGGUUGAUCCUAGAAAUUUCACGCAACUCAAGGACCCUCGGAGAGAGUUGGGUAUUUCAUUAUUUUCAUAUUUGAGUUUUCUCAAAUUUUGAAAAUAGGAUAAUUUGAUUUUAUUUAUUUUAUCUUCAAUUAUUUCUACUAUAAAAAAAUUAUGAGAGUGGGAAUAAAAUGACUUUCCCAAAAUAUAGAAAUAUUGGGGAUUUAAUAAAAAAAUCAAAUCAGAUUUUAUUUUGCUUUUAUUUGCUAUUUUAUUUGAAUUUAGGAAAAAUUGCACGUUUUCAAAAAUUGCAUUUAGGGCCAAGAAAAUGUUCAUCCUGUUCUAAAUAUUUUAUUUAGAGGGUAAAAAUUUGUUUUGGCAUUUUUAGAAGUUUAUUUAUUUUUCUAGAAUUUUUUUUAGUCGCAGCAAAAUUGUUUAAAAAAAGAGACCCCGUGCCCAACUUGGCCAAGGGCCCAGCCGAGCAGGCCGGCCCUGCCAGCCGUAGCCGCCUCCCGCCGAGUCGGGACAGGAGGCCCGACCGCCGCCAUCGGCCGAGUCUGGGGAGGACCCGCCUCCAGGCCGACCCCUUCCCCAAGUCGCCGCCCCCCCUUUAUAACCCCGCCGCCGCCCGCCUGCAGCCCCACACCCGCGCCGUAGCCGCCACCCCGGCGCCGCGUCAGAGCUACCGCCCCGCACCACCCGCCGCCCGCCGGAGCCCCGAGUCGAGGUAGCCGCUGCCCCGGUUUUUUUUGGAAAAAGCCGUUUCGGUUUUUUUUUGAAAACCCUAGUUUUUGUUUUUUUAAUAGAUCGGCUUUUCUCUGGUUUAUCUUUUUAGCGAGCGUUCGCUCGUACGUUCGUUUUAAUGAACGCGUUCUUCGUUUAGUUCCUGUUAACGAACGUCCGUUCUAUAACCUGUUCGUCGUUUUUCUUUUUCUCGGAUUAAAUCCGCGAUUUUCUGAUCGCGAUUUCUGAUCCGAUGUUUGUUUUAGUUUAGGUUUUUGCUCGUUUGUCAGAAUCAGGCGAUUCAAGCACCUGGAGUUUCGUCUCGAAGCCCUCUUUCCGUUUAACCAACUCAAACAAGUUUUUUCCUCAGUAAAAUUUGACCUAGAUUCAAAAUAGUAAACAAAGCCUGUUUCUUUUGCCGUUUGUCUUUCGUUGCUUCAUUCGAUUUGAUUCUUUUUGCCGACCGGAGUUCUUAAAUUGAACUAUCUGGUUAGAUCUCUUAUUCGAGUUUUACUUGUGCAUUAGAUGAGUACUUAUUGUAUGCUUGUUUGUUUGCGAUGGAUUACCCGGAGUGCGCCGCUUGUUACUUCGAAUCGCUAGGUUUUGCGGAUCAUCAGCAAAGCAAGUAACACUUUGAUCAUACCUUCCUACUACCCAGUUUUAUUGCAUUAGAUCAAUCCUCACACAUUGCAUUGACUAGGAUCUAAUUAAAUUGUGUGUUUGGGAAGUAGAUGAGGUAGUACAUAUUACCUGUUAUUAUCAAACCUUUGGGAGUUACUUCUACGUUUGCUUAUUUUGCCAUGCUAUGCCAGUAGACGUGGUUUGGGUGAGUGAAAUCCAUGACAGAUGUGAGUUUGUUAAAUUAAGGGUUUAUCUAAGGUGGCAACUUAAAUACACAUCUGGGUGGAUUGAGGCACCUGGGUAUUCCAGCGAUUGCUUGUUUUUCUUUGGACCGCCACCCAGGCUCAAAGGGAUCAUGAGAUUAUUCAUGCUAGAAACUUCCGUGUGCAGCCACAAGCUACUAUGGGCUCUAGCAUAGUUGACUAAGUCGUGCGAACUCUUACAGUGGUAGACUAGAAGAUGUAGGGGAUGUAGGUUGUACGGUCUACCCAUCGUAAGGUGCUAGCGCUUCUAAAAGACUAUGUCUUGGUCAUCCGCUUCUCAAACACCAUGCAGUGCGAGAAAACCAAUGGAGGAGAUCGAGUCUUGUGGGGAAAAGUGCGCAAACCUCUGCAGAGUGUAUAAACUAAUCAUGGUUAGCCGUGUCCUCGGUUAUGGACAUCCUGAGUAUCUAGUACUUGGAUUAUCAUGUGAAUCUCAUCAUGCUACUCUAAUUAAUUUGUUGGUUCUUAAUGAUGAUGCUUAAUUCGGAUUAAGAAUGUUGUCAACCAUUCGCAAUGUUUAACAACUACCAUGAUAGUUAAAUAAAAUUUAUUUCUUUGCAGUAGGGAAAAAUUGGCUUUACGCAAAACUGUAACCAUAGAGCUUUCCACCAGCCAAAUAUGCAUAUAGUAUAGCCUAUUUUCUUUCUUUGCUCUCUAUGUGUUACAUUGCCAGCAUAUUCCAUGUGCUGACCCAUUUCGGGCCGCAACGUUCAUGUUCCAGACUUUUUAGACGACGAGUAAGGUGCUUUUAGGUCAUGGUUCUAUACUCAGUGAUGCCGUUGGAGUUGAUCGACUCACUUAUCUUUCAAGCCUUCCACUGUUAUCGUUAUAUUAGAUGACCUUAAGCCAUUAUUAUUGUAAUAAGUUCUCUUUUGAGACUCUCGAUGUAAUAAGUGUGUGAUUGCUACUCUGUUAUAAAUCCUUCAAGUAAUGUGUGGUGUCAGCAUUACUGAUCCAGGGAUGACAUAUGAGCACAGAGAUUGGACCGUUUGAGGUUUGAUCGCUACAAUUACACCAGCGUGAAGCUGAAGCGCCAUGUACGAAUAUUGCAAAGGUUUUUGGCAUAAUAUCAUUCACCUUACAACUAAGUUUCUUUGGAAAAUUUUAUCCACAAGGGCUAUAGAGUCUAUUGAAAUUGACACUAUGGGGUUAGGUAUCUCUAACAACAUUUUCUCUAAAAGUAUUUUCAACACCCAAGUCUUGUGAGACUUAAUGUUGUGCAUGGUUAUUCUUUGUUAACAUAUCACUUUAUUUUAAUAGCCUGAUUUUCAUGGAUUACUUCAGAAAGUUACAAAUACAUAUUUUUUUCUCUAAGUUUUGGAAAGUGGUUACUCCGGUGCCCUGAGCCAUUCAAUGUUCGUAUUAUUAUAUGAAAUUUAAUGUGCAUGGAAACGACCUCUAAAAUGCAACUUUGGCCCAUAAUAUUUUUGGUAUGUAAGGAUACAAGUCAAGGUGGCAAUUAGAUUGUACCAAAACUAGGAAGAAACCAUUAAUACGAAAAAUGAUAAAGGGGCAAGAAUCAUUGUUCAUUCGCUCUUCUUUAUAAACACCAGUGCUAGAAAUAUACGUUCAGAGAAGCACAUCAUUAAGAGAAAAUAAGUAAUAGCAAGGCAGUCUUGAUGAUGGUACUUAUCAACAACAAGACACGCAUUCUCUUUUGUGUUGCUCUUUUGUUGACGUGUACCACUUUUCUGUGUGGCCUAGCGGCAGCGGGGAGGGACGUAGCUAAUUUCCAAAUUAGUUUCCUAGAUGAGUUUCUUUAUACAAAACUGAUCCAAAUGAUUAUGUAUCAUUGUUUCCAUACAUAUUAAUUUAUAUGUUGUGGUGCUUCCUUCAUUGUGUUUAGGUACCAAGGCUGCAUUUGGAAUCCAAUGUUUUACUUACUUAGUGUGCAUGGACUCAUAUGAGUAUGCCGUUGAUUACUGCAACAAGAAGUGCAAAAUACUUGGUUAUGACGGCCAGAAAGGCUACUGAAAGAAGGAGAAUCGUGGCGUGUGUUGUUGUGCCUAAAGUUAAAGACAUGUUAUAUUGUCAUUUUGCAGAAAAUCAUUGCAUGUAUUUGCUUCUCAGAAUACUAAUUUAUAUGGAUUAUACGAUAAUUUCAAUAACAUAUACUGGUAGUUGCUUUCGAAGACCAACUUGACUAGACGAUCAACUCUUCAGGUCAUAUGAAUCAACAAUGAGCCAGCUAAAAACUGGAAGUACUGAUAACUUAAAAAAUUAAAUUGGGGAGUGAAUUAAUGGAAAUAUAUGAGAAAUACAUUGGGUAUAUGAAAAUUUGUCAUUCAACGAUGCUAGUUAAUACCAACUGAUGGAUGUACAACUCAAAAAAAAGUCCAUAUUUGAUCCCUGAACUAUCACAAAUGUCUAAAAACCAACCCCAAACUUUGAAAAAAUCUAUCUUGCAAUUCUAAAUUGUCAAAGUCGAUCAACUUUCAACUUUUCCUCUCCUCAAACCGGUAUUUGGUGCGUUGAAGUGGUUUGGAACAAUUGAUCUCCUAGUCGGCUGCCAUGUCACUUAAUAUUUUUCCUGAAUAUGUAUUUUAUUGCAUGUUGUAAUAUGUUUGGCGGCAUCGCCGUAUAGUUGAGAAAUAACCAUAUAAUAGCAAUGGGCAUAUAACGGCUACAACUCUUAUAUCCGAAAGAUAUAGGAUCCGGGCUACCAUACUAAACUUUUCUGUCACUAGUGAUCAGAAUAGUACUUCAUGGUCUACCUGCCGUUAGCCUCUCUCUGACUCACUCGAUGUGAUCCUAGGUACCUACAAGGACGAAGAAUGUAGAUGAGACAAGAGACAUCCAUGAAGCAAUUUUAUGUUACACAUACGGGACAAAUUCAAAGUACUUCUAUAUAUCCCUCCAAUAAAUACAUAGGGUUGUAGGGCUAUGCCUCAACCCAUGAUGAUACCUUAGAUAUGGAGAACAGAUCACAAGUACAAUCCAUCAAACAACACAUCAUGAAUAUUGAUUUAUAAUAUGUCUUACAAUAAUUGCCGGAUGUGAUAGACGAUUACAAAGUAUGGCUAGUUGGAUUAGUGCUUGGUGGGUGGAGAUGGUGGCGGCUAUGGAAAUGAGAUGGGAAAUGGCGGUGGCUAGGGUUAAUUUGGACGAUGAAGAUUGAGGUCUGGGCGAUGCUCUGUUGCUAUUAUGGGAUUGAGCCCUUCAUGGUAGAUCGGAUAGCUCAUACGAGCGUGUACGAUCGUGUGGAACAUCGUCUUGCUUUGUUCUUCCGGGAGUGUCUCCCGCUUGAUCUCCUCUAUAUCGUCUUUACUCCCUUCCAUGUAUUGGCUUGAUUUCCUCCAUAUUUAGCCCAUUUCCUACAGAAAUAAACUAAAGAUUGGACAUUUCGAAUCCUUUGCAUUGGUUAGUCGUUUGUAGUAAUAUCAGAGCGAAUAUCUUGGUUUUUAAGAAAUAUAUUGGUUUAUGCUCAUGUAUCUUGAGUGCAAGAACAACAAUCGUCAACUCCAUCAAGCUUAGACUUGAUCAUCCUCGACCAACAUAGAGGCAAAUCCAAAACGUAAGGAACUCAGUUGUUUACACCAAAUAAAUGAGUAGGUUUUGCUUCACUUAUGAUCAGUGCACCUAGAUAACCCUACACUUCUUGACUUCUAAACUUAGUAUAGGUAUAGCGGUGACAUGGUUAUUAUGCAAGUCUUAUUGAAGCAAAGAUAAUCAACACAAAGCUCUUGCUCAACUAGACAAAAUAACAAAGUAACACUUGAUUCUAUUUUUUCUACUGAACACUUGCUUGCCAGGAAUGCACGAAGGUGAUUGCAUUUCUGGAGCAAUGAAAGCAUGUAUUAGGGAGUUAAAGUUAUGCAAAGACACAUCAUUCUAGAGUAGCUCUAACUCACCCACAAGUGUCUCAUCAUCAAGGCUCUCAUGAACUUUAUUUAAAUUAUUGCCUGCUGAAUCUUUUGUUGUCUGGUGAUGGGAUGCCAAAGAAAGGAUCAAAAAUAAGGUUUUGUUGUGCUUUAAGUUUGAGUAAUAUGAACUAAUAUGUUGCUACUACGUACCGUAACAUACUCAUAUCCGAAAUUGGAGUCGAAAUUCUAGUGGGUCGUUCAUUGUCCAGUGGAGUACUCAGCAUUACAUCAAGAAAGGUGACAUUCACAUUUACAUGCCUACACGUGCAUGGAGUAGUAAGACCAUUACACCAGCAUGAAGCUGAAGCGCCAUGUACAAAUAUAGAAAAGGUUUUUGGCAUAAUAUCAUUCACCUCACAACUAAUUUUCUUUGGAAAAUUUUAUCCACAAGGGCUAUAGAGUCUAUUAAAAUGGACACUAUGGGGUUAGGUAUCUCUGACAACAUCUUCUCUAAAAGUUUUUUCAACACCCAAGUCUUGUGAGACUUUCUGUUGUGCAUGGCUAUUCUUCGUUAACAUAUCACUUUAUUUUAACAGCCUAAUUUUCAUGGAUUACUUCAGAAAGUUACAAAUACAUUUUUCUCUCUAAGUUUUGGAAAGUGGUUGCUCCGGUGCCCUGAGCCAUUCAAUGUUUGUAUUAUUACUAGCAAAAAUGCCCGCGCAUUGCACCGGGAGAGAAAAACACAUGCAUUUAGAUCCAUCACCGCCAAUCAUAAGUUGACUGCCCUCCGAAACAUGACAACUCUUAGAAAGCCAUUAUAUGGUGCACGGCUACCACGAACCAAGAUACAGUAACAACCCAUCUAAAAAAUAUACAGUAGCAACUGGAACCUCAUCACAUGAUCACAUACGAUGCGAACAGACCAUGCAAUGCAACAAACAGGGGAGCCAUUUGCAUUCAAAUAGCCUCAUAUACUCAAAUAAUUUUCCCUUUAUGUAGAAAGUCACUAUACAGUUGUCAUAGUAAAAGCAAAAGGGAAUAAAUAACCUGAUAUGAAACCAACGCCUAGCUAGCAAAUAUAAGACUUACAUGAUUUCGAAUUAUAUGACAAACUCAUCAUAUAUAGAAUCAAAGUUGAACUAUGAUAUAUAGUAGAUGAGCCCGAGAUGGGGCCAUGCAUGCACACACGAUUAAGAAUAUCAACUUCUGCUAACAUGAGGUCAGAACUAAUGGCCUCACAAAAGAUGAUUAGUUGAUCAGAACAUAGUUCUCCAAAAUAUUCACCUUUGAAAGUAGCUGCUGCAACCGGAUUCGAUUGUCCAUGCAUGGGUAGAUAAUCUUAUGAGCCUGAUAUUGACCAGAUCGAUAUGAGGAUUGAUGGAGACUUCGUCCAUGGCAACCAAUGGGACAAUUUGUGAAAUCAGAUUGUGUUGCAUAGUCAGGGGGUCCGUGAUGGCGCACUUCAUGGAGGCGAGGACGCAUGGGAGACAGAUGCAUGGCAUGUGACUCUAUGAUUGUGAAUUCUGCAGGGAGUGUUGGCUAUUGGGGUGCGCAGGACGGCAACCACGACGGUGUCAGCUGCGGCUGCUGCUCGUGGUCAGGGAGGGAAGCAACACGGCAUCGGCGGCGACUGCUCGUGGUCGCGCAAGACGGCAACCACGACGGCGGCGGCGGCGGCUGUUCGUGCUCGCGCAGCGAAGCAACAUGGCGUCGGUGGCGACUGCUCGAGGUAACGCAGGGAAGGAGCGCCUGGGACAGGGGGAACUCGAAUCUAUGAGAGGAGAGGAGAUGGGUUAAUUAGCCUUGGCUGGUUUUCUCCCGAUUUAUGUAGCUGACUUUUUUUAGCAUGGCGUGCGCCUGUGGAGGCUGGUUCCUGUUGUUUUUUUAUCUGACGGUGAUACACAUAGUAAACUUAUCUUAUUUGGUGACUGAUUCCUGAGCCGGAUAUAGACGCAUGGUGAGUUGCAACACUUCGACGGCUUAUAGGGAAAGAUUGAUUGUGGGUUAAUUCUCUAAGAUAAUAGGGACUUUUUUGCAAAAAUGUCACGACGGUGAACCCGGAUACUCAAUCCGUGCUUUAUUAUUAGGGAGAGAUAUGAAAUUUAAUGUGCAUGGAAACGACCUCUAAAAUGUAACGUUGGCCCAUAAUAUUUUUGUUAUGUAAGGAUACAAGUCAAUAUGGCCAUUAGAUUAUACCAAAACUAGGAAGAAACCAUUAAUACGAAAAAUGAUAAAGGGGCAAGAAUCAUUGUGCAUUCGCUCCUCUUUAUAAAUACUGGUGCUAGAAAGAUACAUUCAGAGAAGGACAACUUCAAGAGAAAAUAAACACCGGUGCUGGAAAGAUACGUUCAGAGAAGGACAACAUCAAGAGAAAAUAAGUAAUAGCAAGGCAGUCUUGAUGAUGGCACUUAUCAAGAACAAGGCACGCAUUCUAUUUUGUGUUGCUCUUUUGUUGACGUGUACCACUUUUCUGUGUGGCCUAGCGGCAGCGGGGAGGGAUGUAGGUAAUUUCCAAAUUAGUUUCCUAGAUGAGUUUCUUGAUAUAAAACAGACCCAAAUGAUUAUGUAUCAUUCUUUCCAUACAUAUUAAUUUGUAUGUUGUGGUGCUUCCUUCAUUGUGUUUAGGUACCAAGGCUGCAUUUGGAAUCCAAUGUUUUACUUACUCAGUGUGCAUGGACUCAUAUCAGUAUGCCGUUGAUUACUGCAACAAGGAGUGCAAAAUACUUGGUUAUGACGGCCAGAAAGGCUACUGCAAGAUGGAGAAUCAUGGCGUGUGUUGUUGUGCCUAAAGUUAAAGACAUGUUAUAUUGUCAUUUUGUAGAAAAUCAUUGCAUGUAUUUGCUUGUCAGAAUACUAAUUUAUAUGGAUUAUACGAGAAUUUCAAUAACAUACACUGGUAGUUGCUUG
rnacentral:lncRNA from 1 species